UUUAACUUACUGUUUUCAGUUAUUAGGAUCCUCAGAAAGGACAUAACCUGGACUUUCCCUUCCUCUCUCAUCCUGAUUCUAAUAGCAUCUGUAACUGGAUUAAAAAUCUUUUCUUUCAGGAGGCCAUCCAGGCUUUAAGCUCACAAGAAAUCUUCUCCUGCGAGAGGAGAGAGGGACCCCCCGGAAGGGGCUGGAGGCUCUCCCUCCUGCGAGAGGAGAGAGGGACCCCCCGGAAGGGGCUGGAGGCUCUCCCUCUCAACAGGGACAGGAAGAAACUGAAAGCUGGAAUUCAUAACCAUUCCCUUACUCAAGUCCUUACAGGCUGUACAGUAUACCCAGAAAGCCACCCAUAAGCUUGUCCCUGUACAACCCUUCCAGCCCAAGGACUCGGUAUAGGUAAAGAAGUUCACUGCCCAAGGACUCACCCCAACCUGGAAGGGAUGCUACACUGUUAUCCUGAGCACGCCCACGGCUGUUGAAGUAGACGGCGUCCAGACCUGGCUACACCACUCCCAGCUCCUGCACCAGGAAACGGCCUAGAUCCUGGCAACCAGCGGCCUCACCCGUGAGAUCCCUAGCCUGGGCUCCACGCAGGCCAGGAGGAAACUCAACACCUGCAGGAGAAGAACUGGAAUUCACUGUGGACAGUACUGUUGGGGACUGUAGUACUAAAGGCCUUAACCAGAAGUAAAAGACAAAGUAAAAAUACAAACCGUCUCAUGAUUGAGCCGGGUGUCCCAAGACAAGGGGGGAAUGAAAGGGCAGAGCAGGACAGCACAAAAUGUACUGUACCCUCCACCCUGUGUAACUAUGUAUAUAACUCCUUUUUCUUAGAAAACCGCGAGAAUGUAACAAUUGCAUGAACCUGCCAAUAGGAAUGUAGAGAGAUGGACUCAGUCCACCUUAAGCAAGCUACCCAGUGUGCCUUUGUGUAACUGGACCCCUCACCCUACCCCUGACCAAUCAUAAACACUCUCCCUGCCCACUGCUUGAGACCCCCUUAAAGCCUUUGGGUUGGCGAGAGAAUUUCUCUUGGUCCCCGGUGAGCGCUGGAGAUGAGAGCUCGUGCUAGCACGAAUAAAGGUUCUCUUGCAGUUA